rnacentral:rRNA from 1 species
UACGAAGGGUGCAAGCGUUACUCGGAAUUACUGGGCGUAAAGUGUGCGCAGGCGGCUGAGCAAGUCGAGUGUGAAAGCCCCGGGCUUAACCUGGGAAUUGCAUUUGAUACUCUGGAGCCUGAGUGUGGGAGAGGAGAGUGGAAUUCCCAGUGUAGAGGUGAAAUUCGUAGAUAUUGGGAAGAACACCGGUGGCGAAGGCGGCUCUCUGGACCACAACUGACGCUGAGGCGCGAAAGCGUGGGGAGCAAACAGG